rnacentral:rRNA from 1 species
CUACGUGCCAGCAGCCGCGGUAAUACGGAAGGUCCGGGCGUUAUCCGGAUUUAUUGGGUUUAAAGGGAGCGUAGGCCGGAGAUUAAGUGUGUUGUGAAAUGUAGACGCUCAACGUCUGACUUGCAGCGCAUACUGGUUUCCUUGAGUACGCACAACGUUGGCGGAAUUCGUCGUGUAGCGGUGAAAUGCUUAGAUAUGACGAAGAACUCCGAUUGCGAAGGCAGCUGACGGGAGCGCAACUGACGCUUAAGCUCGAAGGUGCGGGUAUCGAACAGGAUUAGAUACCCUGGUAGUCCGCACAGUAAACGAUGGAUGCUCGCUGUUGGUACCUGGUAUCAGCGGCUAAGCGAAAGCAUUAAGCAUCCCACCUGGGGAGUACGCCGGCAACGGUGAAACUCAAAGGAAUUGACGGGGGCCCGCACAAGCGGAGGAACAUGUGGUUUAAUUCGAUGAUACGCGAGGAACCUUACCCGGGCUUGAAUUGCAGAGGAAGGAUUUAGAGAUAAUGACG